UACGUAGGGUGCGAGCGUUACCCGGAUUUAUUGGGCGUAAAGGGCGCGCAGGCGGCUACGCACGUCCGUUGUGAAAUCGCUCGGCUCAACUGGGCGGGGUCAGCGGAUACGGCGUAGCUGGAGCAAGCUAGGGGGCAAUGGAAUUCCCGGUGUAGUGGUGGAAUGCGUAGAUAUUCGGAGGAACACCAGUGGCGAAGGCGGCUCACUGGCUCGGUACUGACGCUGAGGUGCGAAAGCGUGGGGAGCAAACAGG
rnacentral:rRNA from 1 species